AUUUCAUCACAUAUUAACUUAGUAUUUCGCAGACUUGGAAUAUGAAUUUUGGUGCUAAUGCCCGAAUAUUGACCUUGCUGAUUAUUUCAUUACUGAUUCUGUUGCGAGCUGUCGAUAUGGUUGCAUGCCAAGGCGGAGGAGGAGGGGCAGGAGGAAUAGGAGAAGGCUUCGUGGAACAGCUGGAGAAUAAAAUCCUUGAAGAAUAAUGAGCUGUUUUGCCUGAAGAUCAGAAUAUGCAUGGAAAUAUAUUGUGUAUAACAUUAUUUGAAAUGUAUCUGAGAGGCAAUAAAUAAAAGUUGUAUUAAAUAAA